UACGUAGGGUGCGAGCGUUGUCCGGAAUUACUGGGCGUAAAGAGCUCGUAGGUGGUUUGUCGCGUUGUUCGUGAAAACUCACAGCUCAACUGUGGGCGUGCGGGCGAUACGGGCAGACUAGAGUACUGCAGGGGAGACUGGAAUUCCUGGUGUAGCGGUGGAAUGCGCAGAUAUCAGGAGGAACACCGGUGGCGAAGGCGGGUCUCUGGGCAACAACUGACGCUGAGGAGCGAAAGCGUGGGGAGCGAACAGG
rnacentral:rRNA from 1 species